GGAAUAUUGGACAAUGGGGGCAACCCUGAUCCAGCAAUGCCGCGUGUGUGAAGAAGGCCUGCGGGUUGUAAAGCACUUUCAGUAGAGAAGAAAAGCCUAGGGUUAAUACCCUUAAGUCUUGACGUAACCUACAGAAGCAGCACCGGCUAACUCCGUGCCACCAGCCGCGGUAAUACAGAGGGUGCGAGCGUUAAUCGGAAUUACUGGGCGUAAAGCGCACGUAGGCGGCUUUGCAAGUCGGGUGUGAAAUCCCCGGGCUCAACCUGGGAACUGCAUUCGAUACUGCAUUGCUGGAGUAUGGGAGAGGGAAGUGGAAUUUCCGGUGUAGCGGUGAAAUGCGUAGAUAUCGGAAGGAACACCAGUGGCGAAAGCGACUUCCUGGACCAAUACUGACGCUCAGGUGCGAAAGCGUGGGGAGCAAA
rnacentral:rRNA from 1 species